rnacentral:lncRNA from 1 species
CAUGAGAUAUUUUAGGUUAGUUGCAUUAGAAACCACGAAUAUGUUGCAUUGCAUAUUAUGUUGUUGAUGUGGGUAAAUGCUGGAUGAUCCAAUAGUCCCUGGCAGGAAGUCCAGUGAGCCUUUGACUAUGCCCUGGCACAGAGUUGAGAAAGUCCAGUGAGCCUUUGACUACGCCCUGGCACAGAGAUGGGACACCAAGACCAGGUGCUUAAUAAGGCCCUGGGGCAGUGUAAGUUAUGUUAUGUUUACAGGAAGUCCAGUGAGCUUUUGACUAUGCCCUGGCACAGAGUUAAUAUGGGACUAUUUGGUGACAGGUUUACCCUUGAUGUGGCUUGUCUGUGAUGUAAUGCAUUACAUGAUAGCAAAUAUUUUUAAAUGUUUUUACUAUUCUGCUCACUGGGCUCUAGUAGCUCACCC